rnacentral:misc_RNA from 1 species
AAAACAGCUCACCUGCGCGUUAGCAGGCUCGUACUCCCUCCCCUUCCGUAUCCUUCCGUCUUUGCUAUCUCGCAGAUACACACACACACACACACACACACCACACCACACCUUUCUCGAGCACGCAGGUGUUGUUCCGUCUUUGUGCGUGUUUGCUUGCAAACACUUUACCUGGCAGACGACAGGGAAAGAGACCUACCGAACACCUGCGACCUGGACGUGGAGGUGUACCGGCUGCUUCAUUCGCUUACGCUCACGUGUGGCGCCAGCGGGUGCCGGAAGAAAAGGUACGGCAGCGGCGCAGGAUACCCGCCCCCUGGUACUUUGCUCUUGUUGUUUGCCGCUUGCGACCUUUGUCUGUUGUGCUUUCUGUGGAGGGCAGCGGCGGGUCUGCUGCCGUUGUCGCCUCAACCGCCCUGGCCGUAGUUGUCCUAGCCGGCAGCGCUGAUUGAGCUGUUCCCGUCCCCUCCUGUGACGGCGUUGACAAGGAGAGGCGUGCGUGUGUGUGUGUGGCAGCACAAGGCGACGCCGCUGCGAAACACGUGAGCGCCUUGCGCACCCUUCACGGAAGCUACUUGUUCCUUGUUGUGGUGGCCGCGCUCUUCUGCAGGAUUUCUGUUUGGACUCCUCUGCGAGUGCGCACGUCCCGGCCCCUUUCGCUCGGCCUCCAAGGCUUCAUCACGCACGUGUAGCAGCACCACCGCAGGGUUUCUCUUUAGGCAUUGCCUUCGGUACUGCUCUUCCUUAAGUGCCCUCUUCUGUAGUCGACCUCUCUACGCAGCACCGGUCCGUUCUCUUCCGCACUUUUCGUUUCUGCUUGCGGUACCCGAAGCGGACCCCUCUCGCUUCACGGAUGGCAAGUCUUCAAGAGGCGCCCUCACCGGCUCUCCUGCCAUGCUCGCUUUCGGAAGUGGAGGCGGAGCUGCAGAAGACGCAGGAGACUCUUGUGGACGGGAUCCAAGAAGAGCUCAUGUGCGCCAUAUGCGGGUCUGUUUUUAUCGACCCGCGCAUUCUGGAGUGCCAGCACUGCUUCUGCCUGCGAUGUCUCUACUCCACCGUGUCGCGCGAUCGUACCUCGCAGAUUGAAGUACCCUGCGCCUAUCGUUGCGCGGCGGUGACUGUGACGCAAGGCGAUAUCCGCACGGUUCCGAAGAACCACUACAUCACCAACACGUGUGUACUCCUGCGUCAGCAACUCGUUCGUCGAUCUCGCUUGCUGGAGCGCAAACUGUUGCUCAGUGCAGCGGCGGACAAAGAACUGCCCACUCUCGCAAGGGAGAUGAGGCUCGAUUCAGCCGCCCUACCGCUGACGGCCGCUGCUGCAUCGCCUGUGGCUACAGAGGCAUCUCUUUCACAAGGGUCACCCGCCACGGUGACUUCCGCCCUCCUCAUGAAGGAAAUCCAUGCUGCGAAGGAGCUGCACGAGUGCGAAUGGUGCUCCUGCUCGUCACCCACGUGUGAGGUGUGCACAUACUGCUGGAGCCGCGUCUGUGCCGAGUGUCGCGGGCAGUUUUCGGACCACCAGUACCUCUGUGUAGAGUUGCAUCAACCAGGGCGACGACCCCCGGAGGGGUGGUUGCCUGGCGUGAGUACUGCCACCGCGGCCGAUACGGAUCGGGGCGCCGAUGCCGGUCAAGAGAGAGAAGCUACAAGGAUGGAUUCUGCGAGCAGCGCCGCGCAGGUGGGAGCGACAGCCGCAGCGGGGGCGCAGACCCCUGACCAAGAGGCCCCGUUCCCGUACUUUAUCGCACCGUUCUUUGUGCCAGUACUGGUGAAGGAGUGCCUGGUGAAGCAGCAUGGCGCAACCCUGCAGCUGAGCGAGAUCGACGUGACUUCCGUGACGGCCGUGCGGCUGGCAGUACCGGAGGUGGAAGUCCAGUGCCAACACCACACCACCGGCUUCGGCUUCAACUUCCGUGUUCACCCCUCCUUCAAGACGACGGAAGGGGUGGAGGUGGACUUGACAGUGCCACAUUGGGCUGACGGCGGCGGCAGGCCUAACACUACCCUCUCUUUCCUCGCCAACACCGCCCGCCUGGGCGAGACCGUCUUGCAGGAUCUGCGACGGCUCAGCACGAUCAUGAGCAAGGUGGUUCUGGAGCUGUCCAGCGCCGCACAUCAAGCCUACGUGCGGCGCAACAAGGGGUUUCACAUGUACGCCGUGCACGUCUGGUCGCUGGUGCGCGCCCAAUGCGUCAUUGCCCGCGACGCCCUGCUGCCCCACCUCGAACGUUCUCGCUUGCUGGAGAACAUCAUGGGGGACUUGGUUGUGUACCAGUUCCAGCAGACGGCGAGCCAUGCAUCGCCGCCGCAAAAGCACGCCAUCCGCGACAAGUGCGUCGCCUUUAUGAAGGCCGAGGUGCAGCUCUGCCGACAGCUGGACCAGGUGAUGGAGGGCAUCGACGCGGUUUGUCGCGGCAUUUACACAUUGCUGGCCCGCAUGUAUACCGUCAUGAAGGAGCUCACGCAGCCGAAGGUUCACCGAGGAGGGGAGCACAGACGCUCACGGCAGAGUCGCCAGCAGUUCAGCGUGCGGUUGUUCCGAGUACGCCAGCAGAAACACCAGGACUCAUGCAUGCACGACUCGCACGGCCCCGCUGCUACAUCAGCCGAUGGAACGACGCCGUCGCCGCGCACUCGCGCAGGGUUCAUCCGUUCCCUUUCACGGACGCCGCAACGCGCUGGCGCGGUCUCGGUCGAAGCGGAAGCACCACCAUCCCCGCUUCCUCGCAGCGUUGCGGACACUGUUCCCGACCCUAUCCUCAGCGAUAGCCCCCGAGAGCCGGACUGCAGUUUUCGCGGGCAGGUUGCGGAGCAUGGUGCGAUGACGCGCACGCUUACGGAGUUGAUGCUCUCCAUCCUCCGGUGCUUUAUGCAGGCCCGCAUGUGGGAGUGGUCGCUGAGCAACACCUGCAUUCGGGAGUGUGGCCUCAGUGAGGGAGACCGGCGUACGCUGCUGGCGGCUGAAGAGGAGCUGCAGCUGAUCACGGACGACCUUCUGCACAGCAUGUGGUCGUACUCGCGCAUGACACACAUUCUCGAAGUGGAGCAGGACGCCGCCGGUCCGGCGUCCUCGCUGGAUAUUCUGAUGGACGCUGAGACCCUUGAGCUACUGAACAGUGCGCUGGAGUGCCCCGUGUAUGAUCACAGUGAGGUCUUCGAGUCCCUGAAGGCCCUCUCACACCUGCGCGCGCAGUUUGUGGCCUCUAGCUCCGCUGUCACGAUUGUGGCCCGCAAUCCGGAAACACAGCAGGAGUUGCUGAGCAUGAUGAGCUCCGUCUUGAACACCACCAUGGCGCACCAGACCACAGUGUUGCGCCUCUUAGUUGAGGCAGCCGCCUCCCUGGAUGAGCACUACGCCACCUACCUGCGCACGCGUCAGAUGGACCCCACCGUCGGCGAGCGGCCAUCCCCGAGUGAGGACACGCUACUGGCGGUUGACGUGUUAAAACUGCUGCAGCGCCAGAGCGGCGAGAAGCUGGCCGACUACCUCGCCGUAAUGCCGAAAACAACGGACCACCACGACGACGGCAGCCUAAGAGGUGCUCACGCUCGACAAGGCUUUCCUCGUGCGGGCAUCUUGGCGAUGACACAGGGCAGCUGUCUGCCUGAUGCGUCGAAAGCCUCUGCUGGCGAGGGCGCUGCGCCGCCGCCGCACUGUCCGUUUCUCGCUGACUUUUCGUUGCGUGACACAGCGCUGUUUUCGUGUCAGGUCUUCGGCGAGGCUCUCGUGCGCGCGGCACACGGCGAGCAUCUGCAGGCCGGAUCUGCCCCCGAAGGCCAACACCAAGAGCAGCGGUCUGAAGAGCAGGCGAACGAUGCGGAGGUUGCCGCCUCCGCGGCCGCUGAGGUGCCCUCUCCGCCUCCAGUGGCGCCGGAGCGCUUCACGAUGUCGAUGGAGAGAAUCGUCUCCGGACCAACCGAAGAAACGGCACCAAGGACAUCACGGUCGUCUACUACAUCCUUGCGAACAGUGGACGUUGACACACAGGGCAGCAGAUUCGCGUUAAACACUGAAGCCGCGGCUGCGGCUACCCUCGCGCACGACGAGGAGGACAGCGCUGCACGCGAUGAAGACGCCCCACACCGUGAACCGCUGUUUGCGGCGGACACGGACGCGUCUGUUGUGCUUUUGACGCGAGUCUCACCGUCCGCGGCAGACGUUGACGGCAUUCGGAAAGCGGCAAAGCUCUUUGGGGCUGCCUUUCAGCUGCCAGCAACCACCACAUCAGUGGGACGGCGGCGGCUCGUUUUGCUGCCCUUUUACCGCGGGGAGUGUGUGUACAAGGGGGUGUCGACCCCGUUCUACGUGGAUGGGCAGACGGGCACCGUGCUGAUGGACCCCCGAACUCUUUCCGCAGCAGGAAAGCGCCAGUACGCACUCCAGGUGCUCAGCUCGCCGCUAUUCUUCAUCCUCUUGAACUCAACUUUAAGCGUCUUCCUGCAUCGACGGUACAAACUGGAGAUCAUAUACAAGUGAAUCUCCGCAGCGGAGAGUCGGAAGAUGGCGUGGCGCGGAGGGAGGGAGGGGCAGGAGAGCAGUGGCGCGGGUAUGCCUGUGAUGCAGCUGUUUCCGGCACAGCAGGUGGUGGUAAUCAGCGUUUUGGCGCACUUGCUCUAGCACAGGAAGGUGGUGACGAGGACGUCGGCGUAGCCUCUUAUUUGUACAGAGGUGCCCGUCUGUUGCCUCCGCUCUGUGGUUCUUUCUCUUGUGCACCGCAGCCAGCGUGCUCCCUUCAUGGUGCACAUGAUUGGCGCCAAAAACACGAGCACAGCCGAAGCUGCAUUCAGGAACUCAUAUAUACGUUCAGCUCUCCAACAUGUGCGCGUGCGACUACUCGCAUGCCCCCCUCCUUCCCUCUCUGUAUUUCUCACACACAUUCAGGAUUAAAAGGACACCGACACACACACACACACACACACACACACACACACACACAGUGAGAAAAAGAGAGUACGAGAGCUGCACGUACAAACGGCACGGGCACGAAGGUCAAAAGAAAGGGCGAAUCUUCGUGUGCGUGUGUGCGUAUUGAUGACCGCGACGACGCUCACGGGAUGCAGUUUCGUGCGUUCUCUUUAUAAUCCUUCAGUUAUUGUUGGUGUUGCUUCACACGACGGCAUGAGAUGCCCUCCAUUUGCGAGGGCACGCAGCGUACGCGGCAAACAACAUGCGCAACAAGAAAAAAU